GACGAGGGAUCCUAGCGUUGUUCGGAAUCAUUGGGCGUAAAGCGGGUGUAGGUGGGCUUCUAAGUCAGGUGUGAAAUCCCAGGGCUCAACCCUGGAAGUGCAUUUGAUACUGGAAGUCUUGAGUGUGGUAGAGGUUACUGGAAUUGUUGGUGUAGUGGUGAAAUACGUAGAUAUCAACAGGAAUACCGGAGGCGAAGGCGAGUAACUGGGCCAACACUGACACUGAGACCCGAAAGCGUGGGGAGCAAACAGG
rnacentral:rRNA from 1 species